CCUGACCCCAUGCCGAACUCAGAAGUGAAACGCCGUAGCGCCGAUGGUAGUGUGGGGUCUCCCCAUGCGAGAGUAGGGAACUGCCAGGUA
rnacentral:rRNA from 1 species